GAGAGGAAAGAGUCCGAUUUGACCAGAUGAGUCUCAUCUAGAGGAGGCCUCCAGGGAUACCCACCUCACCUUGAUUACACAGAGAAUUUGAGCACUUUACAAGAUGAAUUAUAGAUCUGUAAUCAACUAGAUGUACCUGCUUGCAUCUAAGGAACAUCUAAGGAGCAUCUAAGGAGCUGAAAAAAUAGUAAUCAUUGUCAUUAUAUAAAGUCAUGCCAAGAAGCCAGUGGAUCUCCUAUACCACUACCAGUAGCAUGGGCAGAAGAGGCAACAAGCUGAAGGCAUCUGGAGACCCGCCAAUCCAGAGAGUGUCUGUAUCUCUAAUGAAGUGUGUGCCUGAAUUGGGAAACUGGUAAUCUGAAAACAUCUGCCAGUUCUGCUGCCUCAGGGAAAGUGGUAUCGAAGUGAUCAGAUGGGAGGAUCUCUGAGCAUGCACAGAAGUGGAAUUCAAGAAACUUCUGAAUAGUUUAAAUAAUCUACAGAAUACCAUGACAGUUUAGCCUCUUCCAAGGUGUACCAGCUAUUCACUUGAAUGGACAAAGAGUUUCUGUCUGAAGUCCAGUUUUAUGUAUCCAGGACCUAGAUGUGAAGAACUUCAGACAGUUAUAGAAGGAUUUCUCUAGCUUAGAACUGAUAAAAAUGUAGAUGGCCUUCAAAGUGACACUUUACCUCUACGGAAUGUCAAUGUGAUAUAUUGUCAUUCACCACUUUCUGGGUAGAAUUUGGAUUUUAUAACGUGCAAGAAGCAUUCUGAGAUUCUGAGGUUCGGAAAUCUGCUCUUUUUAAAAAUAAAAAUAUACUAUGACAUGUUUUGUUUAAGGAGUUUCCAAGAUAUUUUAGGUUAACGUGUUGUUGUUUUGAUAUUUAUAUUGCAUUUCUUCUGCUUGCAUGAUAUAUCCAUAUGCAUGAUAAAGUGGAAAUGAAGGACAUUUACUUCUAUUUUUUUUUUUCUUUUCAAUGAAACCAAGUGUUUCCACACCUUCCUCGGAAAAUUUUGACAAAAUUGUCAUGGUCUUGAAGAAAGUUUCAUUUUGUCAAGUCAGCAUUUUCCCAUGUUCUUUUGGAGCACUUUUUCACCAGUUCUAACUAAAUACACAUGAGAAAGGCAAAGGCAGCAAUAUGGCAAACAACGUCUAUGAUAUUUCAGAGAACAACUGCUUGACAUUUAUAUUAGAUUUCUGGCCGACUAUUACAAUAUCUUUGAUGAGUGAGAUCUUGAUUUAACUCCACAUGGAGGUACGGAUGCACCUCCCAGAGUCUGUGAAGACACGGUGCCAAGGAGAAAGAGCAGAUGGUGUUUGCCUUGUCCCUGCCCCUUGUGCAUUACCCAAAGGGAUGACAUCUUUGCGCUGCACCUAGGCUCCACAGAAACCUGAUGAAGGGAGAUCCCUUGUGUUUUAACUGAAUGAACCCAUCUCCUGCUGCUCCAUUCGUAAAGGUGUAGAAAACAAGGCUGGGACAUAUCUCAAAGGGCUAUGUAACCCGUUCCCUGCCCCCAGCCAGCUUCAGUAGGUUCAUGGUUGACACAACCUAGAUUUGGAGGCUGUGUGGUUUCCUCUGCAGCAAGCUGGAGAUUAACAAUUUAGAAUCUUAGUAAGAAGGUGGGAAGUUUAUAGCUUUCUUUCCCAAAUUAGAGACUAAGCAUGCUGGUAGACAAUAUUAGAACUGGGAGCUGCUAUCUCUCGCAAAAGACCAGAAAUUGCCAAAUGACAGAACACUGGUAUCACAACUGUCUGAUGGUUGUUGGUUCAGAGAAGAGUUAGGAGCCACUGCUUCAUGAAGAUGCUUCAGCUCCCAGCUUUUAGAAGUGCAUCUGAAUGCAUGACAUAAAUGUGUAUCUCUCAAAAGAGCCUUGUUGAAGAGCCAUCUUUCAGAGGGAGAGAGAUCUAUUCUCCUAUCUCAUCCGGCACCUCUGUUUAUGCCGAGAGAUGACUGUGCAACACUGAGAUGAAAUCAGUCCACCACAAUUAGGUUUCAGUGAGGAGAGGUUGUGAUGCGCUGAUACAAUGCAGAGCCAAUAUCCCUUCAUAGGUAGACAGGUAGGUGGAUCUGUGAUCCUGACAGAGGAUGCCACUUUUCUUGGUGUACGGACUGAGGAGUACUUAAUAGUUCUCACAGUGUCUGUUUCUUUGCAUUUCUAAAAAGAAUACCAUUAUCAUCACGGAUAGUAUGUAUAAGUAUAAAUGUACCUGUGCACUGAAAGUGGGAAUAAGUUUAAUAUGGUUGUAAUAAUCAGUAUUGGCUAUAUUGUGCCUUAAAGCACAGUCCUCCAGCCCUUUCUGAGUGUCAUUGUACCAAAGUAACGAGACAUUUUGGCAACCAUGGGCUCUCGCUCUCUCCCAAGGCAAUCUGCCUUUCUAUUUCCCAAGGGUUUCCAACUCUUUCUAACUCCAUCAGAUUACUUCCUACUGCUUCUACUUCACAUCACUCUGAAUGUCUGGUUACUCUUUCUGGGCAAAAGCAACCUGAUAUGUCACUGGCUUAUUUGCCUGUAUUCACUGUGUCUUCAUUAUCUCAGCCUUGUUCCAUCUAUUUUUGGACCUCUGCAACUCCUCUUCUUCCUGCCUUGUUAGGGUAGGUAUUACCUGACUUUACACUCUCAGGAAAUGGGGAACAGAUUGCAGGGUGAACACCCAGUCUGUUCCUAGGUCAACUGUGUAGAUAGCAGAUUCAAAUCCCUAUCUACCACCCACUUGUUUCUGCCAAUGGAGAUCUAGUAAUUAUUUUUUUCUGCUCAGGUGGCACACAGAGAAUUCAUUUAUACUCCUUUGCUUAAACAGUUAGUAUUGAUAGACAGUUAACUGAGGGAUCUACGUUACAAGCCCGCUGACUGUAAGCUCCCCAAAUAAUCGGUGAGGAAAGAGAGAACAGCACACUGGAGGGAAGUAUGCAUCUUGGAGGUGACGACUUACCCUCUGGAGCUGCCUGUAUCUCCCUGAUGGCUGCAGAGUCUGGGUGAACAGUCUGUUUUUCCCUCCAGUUACAUGUUGUGGAUAUGGGUUCUUGUUUCAGACCAAGAACUGACAGGCAUGUUACAUCAGUUUGUUUGCUCAUUCUUUUUUUCAUGACAAAAAUGAUCAUGGGCAACAAAUCAUUCAAGGUUGCAUGAAUUGCUUUGCUGUUCUCGCUGCAAGCUUUUUCAUUUGAUCUUUGUUGAUUCUUAAAUAUGCGAAAAGUCAUGCUAAGGUCAAAUCCAAUUUAUUCUAAUUUUUAAGAUCUCAGAAGAGGAAAAAAGUUCGUCUAUUCAUCCAGCUCUGAGUGUAAUCAGAGGGUCACACUAUUCCUACACGAAACUGAGAUUGUAUUUAUUUAUUUAUUUAUU
rnacentral:lncRNA from 1 species